UUGCCCGACCCCCCCACCCCUCUUCCAGUCUUCCUCCUCCCGCAUCGCCGCUAGCCCACUACUAGGGUUUAGAUCCCGCAUCGCCGCCUAAGUCAGCCGCAUCAUGGAAUCCGACGGGGAGGGCCACCGCAGACCCAAGCGUCGUCGGGACGAAGACGUUGAUCGGCACCGGCACCAGAAGCAGGAUCCUCGCGGCCAGGCACAUGACGGCGACGAGUACAUCGGCCGGCACCAGGAGCCUCGCCGCUACGAGUACCCCGGCAGGCACCGGGAGCAUCGUGUCCGCGACGACGAGCGCUACGAGUACCACGGCCGGUACCGGGAGCCUCGCGACCGCGACGACGAGCGCUACGAGUACCACGGCCGGUACCGGGAGUCCGGGAGCCUCGCGACCGCGACGACGAGCGCUACGAGGACCGAGGGCCUCGCGACUACGACGGUGGCCGCUACGGGUACCGCGAUCGACCCCGGUUCUGCAGAAGCCACGACCGUCGUGACCCUCCCCAGGGCGACGAACGUGACCUGGGCCACGCCGAGGGUGACGGUGACCCCAAGCGGGAGAGCGACCGUGGCCGCACCGAGGGUGACGGUUACCGCAACCGUGGCCGCAGCGAGCGUGAUGAUAGCCGCAAUCAGGAGAGGGAGAGCGGCAGGAAGCGAGACAGUGCCACUUGUGAUGGUGUGAUUUAUAGCAAAAAACCUUCUGAUGCAACACAGCCUGUAUCAAUCUUUGACUCUCCACCUUCAACAACUGCAAGCGAUGUGUGCUCUGGACCGCCUGAGCUUGCUGGAACUGCUAUGGAAACUAAAAUAGUUCAGGACCCCAGUGAAUGCCUUGUUCUCAACAUUUCAUUUGAUCAAGUCACAGAUAAGAAGAAAUCCGAUUCCAAGUAUAUUAGGUACCACAUUCUUCAAAAAUGUACUGCAGCUGGUGGCGUCGACCAUAUCCAUGUCGACACAAAAAGAGGUCUAGUGUACCUGCGCUUCCGUACUACUAGAAUAGCUAUGCUUGCCCAAGAAGUAUUUCAUGGAGACUUCUAUGAAGGAAAUUUAAUUACAGCUGAUUUCAUGGAGUCAAGUCUGUACUCACGGAUGUUCCCAAUCAUGAACUAGGGGCCAGAGCCGCAACUAAUGGAUGUGAGUCUUUUGAUCUCAUGCACAGAAUUUUACUCUAUUUCUAGCAUCAGUUGUAUUAAAUACUAGGUAUACCCUGUGAUUGAUUGUGCUUUAGGCUAACUCUAAUGCAUAGAACCACCUUGCUCCUAUGCUGAAAUCACUGAUCUUGUUGUAGAGGGUUAUAGACGUUGUAGAGAUACUACAAAUGUAUGGAGGUUGUAGAGGGUUGUAGGUGGGAUCCAAAACAGGGUUUGAUUCCUACAACUAGACAGCUAACUAAGUAAUGUUUGGACUCAUCGAAUUAACCUGCCCAACUUGCUUAGGCCAUUGGCUUUGUUGUUAUUUUGUUUGAUUCUGUGAAUCAUCUGAUUGCACUCUCUUCCGUAUUUGCUUGAAAAGUAUGCCAUUUAAUAAAAACAGUGAACUCUUGGGUGAGAGUGUUUUACUUUUGAAAAGAAAGGGUGGAAUGGAUUAUUGUUUACAGUAAAAGCAAGUCGCAAAACAAGUAGUGCGUGAUUGUCUAUGUACAGCAUGACUCCUCUAAGGAUUAGUUCUUCUCCUGUGACUUCAUUAGUUACAUGGGAAUACUCGUAUCCCUCUUCAUAGAUUAGCAAUACAAUCUUUAUGCUUGUAUUUGUGAGCAUUCUGUUGCCCAUUCCUAUUAGUUAUACGUAAGUUUAAGAUAUGUUACUGUUUAUGCUUCCGCCUUAGGUUUUCUGAGUAUAUUGCAGCAAGUAAGACCAAAAUAUAAGAUAAAAUGUAAAGUUGCCUGUUGUGUAGGAUAUGAAUUAUAUCUCAUCAUCUAAAUCCAUGUUCCAUUGUUUUUUUUGGUUAAGGGUAUGACUCCCAUCAUUAUCCUUAGUGCUCCCUUGUAGGUUUCUUAGUUGCUACCUGUAAUCCCAGUUUUGCAGUUUGGGUAAUUGACCAUAUAUUGAGGCAGCUCACUUACCUGUACUGUUGGAUUAUUAAUUAAUUACAUAAAUUUAUCAACUGUACCUAGUAUAUAAACAAAAAUAAGAGAAAGGUUACGUGGUCAACUGCCAACUUAAAAGUAUAUUUGGCGAUUUUAGGAAAGUUUUAGGUACCACCAGACAUCAGUGCAAAUUUCUCACUGGAUAAAGUGUGCAGAGUUCAUAUGAUUGUGUUUGCAAUUAUGCAUAUUUGGUAUAUUUCCCUUGAUGUGAUUUGCUAAUAUCAGUGAGUUAUCUCUUAGUUGUCAAUGAUUAUCAAAAGUUAGUAUGCAUUCUAUUCGUAAAUGCAAAAGAUUUGACUAUCUGGUUUGUUUAUGCAGUUGAUAUUGCAGAAUGAAUAUGGAUGAAGCAUGUGGUCAUGAUUCUGAGUUAUUAUUAUUAUACUGAACAUGGAAGAAAUUUGGAAUCUGUGAAGGGUUAAGGAGUGUAAUGUUCAAAUUUUGUAGCGAGGCUGUAGUGGCUCUCUUGUUUUGGCAGACGAAGCAAAACUUGUCCUAUUCACUCAAUUGCAGCAUACGUUUAUGGAUAAGUCGCUUUGGAUAUGUGUUGUGGUGUUGUUAUUCACUCAAUUGCAGCCUACGUUGGGCGAAUUUUUUGUAUAUGCUUCUAUUCACUAGAGUUCAGAAAUUCAUGAACGUUUCCAUU